UGGGGAAUAUUGCACAAUGGGCGCAAGCCUGAUGCAGCCAUGCCGCGUGUGUGAAGAAGGCCUUCGGGUUGUAAAGCACUUUCAGCGGGGAGGAAGGCGUUAAGGUUAAUAACCUUGGCGAUUGACGUUACCCGCAGAAGAAGCACCGGCUAACUCCGUGCCAGCAGCCGCGGUAAUACGUAGGGCGCGAGCGUUGUCCGGAAUUAUUGGGCGUAAAGGGCUUGUAGGCGGCUUGUUGCGCCUGCUGUGAAAACGCGGGGCUUAACUUCGCGCGUGCAGUGGGUACGGGCAGGCUUGAGUGUGGUAGGGGUGACUGGAAUUCCAGGUGUAGCGGUGGAAUGCGCAGAUAUCUGGAGGAACACCGAUGGCGAAGGCAGGUCACUGGGCCAUUACUGACGCUGAGGAGCGAAAGCAUGGGUAGCGAACAGG
rnacentral:rRNA from 1 species